GAGGGAACUGAAGCAUUGUUCUGGACCCAUGGAAAUAAAAUGAGGGAAAGCACAGCUAGGAAGACAAGAGCAGCCCAGAAAUCUGCUGCUUUUAUAAUGCUGUGGGAGCAGCCAACAUGAAUUAGGAGGAAGAUCAAUGCGUCUCCUGCACACCUCACACACACACAGUCAGCCUGACUGGGCAGUGUAGGUUGGGAGUGUUGGGUUCAGUUCGGACCCAAACCAGCCGACCCUAUUGCUGCCUCAUCCCGGGGAUGGUGAUAGAGAAGGAUCCGAAGGAAAGGUCUCUCUGAUGUUCUACUCGAGAGAAAGUUGGAGCAACUGCUCGAGCAGAUGCGUGGACUGAGCUACCACGUUGAGAAGGCGAUGGAAGCGGAGCACAUGUUGCGAGGAGAGCAACCAGGGCACGGCUCGCCGCGGGGCCGGGGCUGCGCCUGGAAAGUCCUUCACGGAUAAGGAGAAAGCAAGGAGGGCCACGGGGGCUCUGAGGGGACCGAGGGGUCAGCGGCCACGGGGACACCGGCGUGUUUCGGCGCUGAGGGGACGGCCGGGAUAGAAAACAAAGCCGUAACUCAGCGUUGGAUGCUUCCAAUUAAUAUGAAUGCGUUCAUGAAAAUGCAAAAGGAGGAAUAAAUCCAGCAGAAGUUUUUAUUGCAUUUAAACAUCCACCUCCAGGACUGGAAACUCACACGCAGUGGGAUGGCAUGAAUUCAUGAGAACUGGUGAAAGAAGCCUGAAGCUGCAAGUGCAUAGACAUAGCUCAAGUCCUGAAAGGAUUUAAACAGAUCUUAAACCCUAAACCUGCGAAUAUUCUUACUGGUCCCAGUGGGGAAACAAUACAGAAUCCAUCCUUGCUGGAGGAAGGACAUGGCCAGCUCUUGGUGUAACACCUAAGUCAAGAAGGUUCUCGCUAUAUCUGGAACUCUGAGAAGUUUUCACAAUAUAACCAGGUGACAUCCAGAGCUCUCUUCUGUGAGUGUAUUCCCUGCUGAUGACUUUACUGGACUGCUCAUCUACAAAGUGGAACACCAUCAAUAUUCAACCGUUGUCCUAAGUUGAACCUGGACUGAAAAGUCCUGGGAUCAGAAAAAGAUGCUGUGAUAGCUCAUAGCAUCAUCAAGUCUCUGAAAGUGUGGUGCUGUUGUGUCCCUUUUUGGCUGCAUCACUUUUGAAGAGCCAGGAGCUGCUCUCUAUCUCUCUGCAAGCUCACAGCAUAGCAAACAAGCAAGAAAUGUUCAUGGUAUUUCUUCAUGUAGUUGCCUGACACUGUCAGCUGUAGUGGAGGAGCCUCUAAAAUUUGCCUCAGCAGUUGGCAGGUGAUACUGAAGUGGAGGCCUUGGAAGAGAGAAAACACUGCACCAGAUGAAUUAAUUGAUGGAGAUACAACAAAAAGCUGAAGCCCUUUGCUCUCGCCACACAGGUUUGUGAGCAUUGCUCCACUUUCUAGUCUGUAUGUCAUCCCACUCACCACUGAGUGCACUCAUCGGACAGAGGAUGUCUCCCUCAUGUAGAGCUCACGUGAUGUAACUCUGAGUAUACGGCUGAUUUACAAGGAGAUGGAUGCUGCAGUGGAGUCCUUGAUAAAGACCCUGAAAGGAUGCUUCAUAUUGUUUAGCUGUGGACUGAUUUGGAGGUAAAAAAGUGGUGCACCCAAAACCGACUGUGAUUGCUUUCUCUGGAUCUGCCUCGUUCUGGGACACAAUCUCUCCUGUGAGGCCCUCGUCCUGCUGGGUUAUCACUCUUGGUUCCUGGCUCUCGGUGCCUCAGGAAGCAGCUGGUCCACUCUGCUCCCUGACAAAGGCAUUUUAUAGCUCAUGCUGUUGCCUGACAGCUGCCUACUACAACGUGGAACAGGACCAACUUUUCACAAAGACUCCCAAACCCCCAUUAGGAGGUGAGCAAAUUUUCAUUACUUGAGAUGUGGCUGUAAGACAGUGCACCUGAAAAGCUUUUAGGAGAUAUUCUUGAAACAUGAAGUAGAAAAAAAUAGCAACAGGGUUUAUUUAUUUUUGUUUGGUUCUUUGUCUCGCUCCAAUUGCCUUGGGGACCCAGUUUGCAGUUUGGCUCACAAUGAGUAAAAGCAGCCCAGUGAGGGUGCAAACCAACUGGUAAGAAGAUGGAAGUGAGCAGUGAGGGAACAUGAACCAGCUUUGGAGCUGCAGACAAUGCCACAUGCAGCUGUGAUUUUUGCUUAGAUGUAGCUGAUACAGCUAUCACAUCUGAAACACUGGUCACGGGGAGGAUUACUGAAUACCCAGCAGGUAAAGAAUCAAAACACCAACAAAAAUCUACCAGGUUUAACUCCUAAGGCUUGCUGAUUUUGACUGCAGUUGCUAAGAUGUGAUGUAAAGUUAUCCAAGAGCUAUUAGCAGCGAGGUAAGGCAGCACUGUGCUUCAGCACACCCUCACCUCACCUGAUUCUUGGGCUGUUUUCUAAUAAGUGCACAAAAUGGUGAUGAUUUUAAUCUGGGAUAUUAAUGCAUUAACUUGAUGCCACUCUUCUAUCCCAACAACCUUUUCUACUUUCUUGCGUUGUGUCCGCUCCGCUGUCUCUCCAUUUCAAACACACAGAAGUACAGUAAUUCACACAAUCUUCCUGCUCACUCUGUUAACACACAUGUAUGCUUCCUGCUUAAAACUGCAACACAGGCUCAUCUGUUUCAUGAGACAGAGCUCCUUUAAAAAUAGCAGCCUGUGUCUGGGAACAGUGCCUGCCUUCCCCUGCCAUAGGAUACUCAUGAACGUUGCAUUUCCCUAUUGUGUUAACAUGAGGCUUUUGACCCUGGAGGUGCAGUCAGACUUUAAAUUCUUCACUGAAAUCCCAGCAGCAGCACAACCCUCAUGGUGAGUGCUUUAGUCUUAUAUUUUUAGAAAGGCUGCUUUGAAGAUUCUGUGCCCGUCCUCCUGUGCCCAAGAGUAACACAAGAUAAAUUGUGCUAAGUGAAGGGAGCUGCAGAUCCCAAAGCAGUCUGUGCCACAGCCAAUCCAGACAUCCCAAACCAGCCCUUCCUUGCUCUUGUCUAAGACAGAUUUUACCAUGGCUGUUGAUUUUUAUAUGGAUGUUUCACUACUCAGACAGACAGCACCACAAAAUACAACUUUCGGAAAAUGAGAUCAUUGAAACUGGAGAUCACUUGGAUAGAAGAUUUGGGGAAAAUGGAAGGAUUGAAUAUGCGUGAUUCCUGUAAUCAUCUGCUUGCUCAAAAUCAAUUUCUCCAACAUGUUAGCAUAGUCUAAAACGGAGAUCAUGUGUGAAGGCCUCCAGGGAGCGCUAAACAAGGCUGUUGGCUUUUUGGGUGUCGUAUAGGGGGUAAGCAAGCAGCUCUCUGCCACUUCUGGUGCUUUUUGUUUUGGGAUCCUUGUGGUCAUGGUUUCAAAACUGCAUUGCAUCAGUACAAUGGAGUCCAAGCAAGCAAGCAAUAUCCAUAAGUUAAACGCAUUCCCUGGCCCUGGGCAGCAACCAGCAGAGAACACUCUACAUUGUAUUAAACUUGGCCUUUGAGAGAGGGGGCCUCAUCCAAAAAAUCUGUUGGGAACAGAUGCUGGUGUGUGUUGACUCCUGUCCCAUCCAGGAAAUGCUUGUUGGCUCAGGCUGGAGAUGUGACCAGCAGCACUCCCUGUUGACAGGAGAGAUGCUUGUACUCUAGCAACAGUUCCUGGCACGCUUUGACUUCUCAGUGUAGGUGAAGCUAAAGAGAGCGAGGAUGUGGCACUGAAGGUCAGACCUCUUCCAUUGGCUCCACUGCAUGGUUUUCAUCUGUCCAAGAGAAAAGAGACCAAAUAUAACUGAUGAAUACUCUGAGAAACUGAAGCAAAGCAAAGAACGGGUAGGAUGUUCAGGCAUGCAGUGCUGCCCUAAGCACUACUUAGGCUGCUGUACAGUUCAACCUGUGCACAGUGCUUGGGAUGGAAACAAUGACAAGCCUCGAAUGUGGAUCCCCACACUUCCCAACUUCAAUAUUUAAUGUAGAUAGCAGAAACACUCCAUGCAAAUAUCAAGAAAGUAUUUCUCUGUAUCCCUUCAUUGUGAGAUAUUCAAGCAUGUACCCUUAGGGACUCUCUGGGCUCAGAACCCUAUUUUUAUGUCAGUGAUUAACUAGACGAAAGUGUUGGAAUCAAGACAACAAAGUGUUUCUGAUGUACUCCUCUUUUCAUCAUUUCCCACCAGCCAACCUGUCCCUGAAGGCCCACGAGCAUUGAACUGAAACUACUGCCCAAAUCAGAAUAGGGAGUUUGAAGAGUCUCAUUGUCCCAACUUUUGCCCCAAGCCUGGAUCCGUGUCUUUCUCACUACACCAUGCAUUGUGCCAGUACCCUGAUCAUUUUAACUCAACGGUCUUCCCAGGUGUAUGGAUUAAGAUCCCAUCUUUCUAGUUUCUUUUGUAUUUUCAUACCCAUCCUUCUACUCGAUUAAGGCAGAUUAAAUCUGCAUAUAUGUUUAUACUUGCUAAACCACAAAUCUUACUGUCAGUUCAGAAAGCUCAGCUUGGAAGUCCAUUGGAGCCUGACACUUUCACAAGACACUUCAUACAAGAUUCUUGGAAAGGUGCUCCUCUAUCCAGCGGAUUAUUGAAUUAAUUGACAGUAGUAAUGCCUUUGCUGUGUAUAGAUGGAAAAAGGAAAGCCAAACAGCUCACUGACUUGGAGCCGAGACAGUCCCCUGAGGAUAUUAAUGUCACCAGUCCAAAAAGGGAUUAUAUAGUCCAAUAAAAAUAGAAACAAAGUCAAUGCCUUGUUUAAAAAGACAAAGAAGGUCAACCAUAACUUGAUCAGGCCAGUUCAGAGAAAGACAGCACAAAGUGAAUUGAAACACAGUCAUCAAGAAUUAACAAAUAACCCUAAGUGAGUGAUUUAUUCUCCUAUUUCUGUUUGUAAUUUGCCCUUGCCCAACAGUUAUUACUCCUUUAUUAUCCUCCCACCCCGAAAUUCCUAUCAAAACACUCCAGGACGUAACCCAUGCCUUCUAGCCUGGCCACAAGCAGUAUAUGCCAGAAGGCAACAUCUGACAUCAAGGAAUCAUCUUCUGUGGAAAGACUGCAGCAGGCUGUUGUGUCCUUCUUGGAAGAGAAUAACUCUUCAGAUGAGUUAUCCUUGUUUACAAAUCUGAAAGGAGCAAUUAGCAGUAAAUAUUCUCUUCUGGGUAAUAAUAUUUUAUGCUUCUAAGAACUAGGCUUAAUUGAAGAACAAGCAUUUGCUUUAUCAUCCAAGCCAUUGGAGCCUGCAGAGGGAGGAGGAGGUUUGUGUGUGAUGCAUUGUGUCAGUUCUUGUGUAAGAUCUAUGCUCUCUUGGCUAAUCCCAAUCACACGUUUAUAGGUUUGAUGUUGUUGUUGGGACUGUUUUGUAAUAUUCAUUAAAAAUGAACAAUUCCAGUCCCUCCUGCAGUUGGUAACACUGCUAUAGACUGUGUUAGGUGGUUCAGGUACCUACAGGUAGCUCCUCUCUCCACUGUCCAGCACAGAUUACAUAGGGGCAUAGGGAUGUCAGCACAGUGUUGGGACUAAUGAGGUGCCCACAGCAGAUGCUGUAGCAUCCAGAAGGCACCCAGCAGCAACCAGUGGACUCCAAGAGCUUUAUAGAAUUGUAUCAUGGAGUCAUAGAAUGGCUUGGGUUGGAAGGGACCUCAGGGAUCAUCAGGUUCCAACCCCCCCACCACAGGCAGGGCUGCCAGCCACUGGGUCAAGCACUAGAUCAGACUGCCCAAGGCCCCAUCCAACCUGGCCUUAAACACCCCCAGGAUCAGGACAUCCACAGCCUCUCUGCUGAGUAGUGUUGGCUGAGGGCUUUGAAACUGCACUGAAGGGAUUUGAAACGUCAGUGGCUGCAAGCUGUCGACACCAGGCAGAGGAUUUUACUCUGUUUGCCACCCCUCCUCCUGCCCCACACACUUUCGUGGAGUGGAAACGUAUGCUUCUGGCACUCACCUGAGCAGCAGCAGCAGCCCCUGCUGUCAUUUUCCUUGCAGACAGGAACACUAUGCAAUUUAAAGAGCUGGCAGUUUGAGUCUUUACUGCAAAGACCAAAGUGACUGGUAAUCAGACCUGAGCAUUAUUCAAGCAUUAUUACUACAGUGUAUCUCCUGACAAAAUUCCCCCCAGGGUUUUUCAGGUACUGACAAGGCCCUGCAGACAUGGUAUGAGCAGCAGCUAGUUCAUGUGUAAGUCCCUGUAGCAAUCUGCAUCUGCUUCCUGAGAGCUUUCAGAUAUUGUACAUAUACAUUUACAAACCAGGAUGCUGUUUUCUGUGGAUUGAGUCUUUCUAAAAAGGGCUGGGAGAAGAGAUGUCAUUUCUGCAGCACUGCGAGCCUGUUUGGACCCACACACACCCACCCCAUGCUCUGCCCUGGGCAAUGAUACAUACAGCCCAUCUAUUUAUUUUCUGCUGGUUGUUUUGUCAUUGUGACUGAAUUAAUUUAAAUACAAAGUGGAAGAAUACAGACAGGUGGCAUCUAGGGGACAGUGAAUGGAUUGAAGAGCAAGGAAUGACUAUUCUCAAGUGCUCUUGGAUGGUACUGAUUAAAGGUUAAAUCUUAAACUUGGCACCAGCAUCCAUCUGUGACACAGGAGGACAAGGGCAAUUCUCUGACCUGAAUCUGACAGGAGAUGGAUUGGAAUUGGAGUCUUAAAGCUCCUGGAAAGAACAGUGAACUGUUGCUCCUAUAGUCAGACCUUUUCUUGACCAAACAUUAGAGCCCUAUUAACUGCUGGCGUCGGGGUAUUGUAGGUGCAGAGGUGUGAGAGGCGUGAUGCUGGGGUACUGGCCACUACUGAAAGGUUCUGUUUGAAAGGAUAGAUCUUGUCCUUGAAUCUGGGGGCUCUUACUUUUGUCAAACUACUGCAUUUCUGCUAAUGAUAUGAGGUAGGGAUUCUCCCAACUCCCUGCUGUAAUCCAGUGCUGAUGUCUGAAAAGAAGGCUUGAAACAAAGCCUCUCUAUCAGUACAUCCUGGCACCCUGCAAACCCAUUCAGCAGGGGCAGAGCUGGAUAGGUCCCAUGGAACCUCCCAAGCUCCAGCUCACGUUGAACUCUGGGGAUCUGUAGGUUCUCCAGCUCUAUCGGAGUUGUUUUUGUCUCUGUUCAUCAUUUUAAAAGCUGGAUGUGGGAGACAGCUGGCUCAAAUUCCACACCCUCCCACAAUGGUAGAAUUUUGAUGCCUCAGUGUCAACAGUUGGCAAGUCCAAACUGCAGCGAGGAUAGUGAGAAGUAGUGAGAAAGUUGAGCCCAUCGUGCUGAGAAAGUCUUCAUUCCCCUGCUGGAGUGAUGUGUAAACGAAUAGCUAGAAAUAUUCUAUUCCAGGCCUCAUAAAGCUAUGGAUGUGACUGUAAUAUAAAUCAGAAUUUUCAGGCAAUACCAAAGCGUGGGACAUUUGCUAAUCUGAAGAACCUUUAAAUACCAACAGCACAGCAGACUGGGUAUAUAUAUCCUUCAUAUUCUCCGUCAUUCAAACUACAAAUAUUCAAGAGAUGUUCAGCAAAUAUUUGCUCCUGGUUUCAAAUAAACUUUGGUUUAUCCUGGUA